rnacentral:rRNA from 1 species
UACGUAGGGUGCGAGCAUUAAUCGGAUUUAUUGGGCGUAAAGGGCGCGUAGGCGGGAAUGAAAGUCAGAUGUGAAAUCCCGGGGCUCAACCCCGGAACAGCAUUUGAAACUCCAUUUCUAGAGGGUAGGCGGAGAAAACGGAAUUCCACAAGUAGCGGUGAAAUGCGUAGAUAUGUGGAAGAACACCAGUGGCGAAGGCGGUUUUCUAGCUUAUACCUGACGCUAAAGCGCGAAAGCAAGGGGAGCAAACAGG